rnacentral:misc_RNA from 1 species
UAUCCAUUUCACUUUUUCGCAUUCCCAUUCCUCAUCGUCUCAGUCGUGCUAGUGGGAAUUUAUUUAUAAAAAUACAAAUCAUGUGCGUAGUCAAAGUUCGUGACAAGAUUUCUUCGUAGAUAGACCUAUAAACUUGAGAGCAAAAUGGACUCGCUUUCAACUAGUUACUAUAGUCAAUACCUUUUGACAGCUUGUUCAGUCCUCACAAUAGCUAUACUUCUCAUGUUUGGAAUAUAUCUGGCCAGGCCCAUCAAAAUUAAAGUUGCUGAAGUAAAAGAACUCGUCAGAUCUGGAAUGAACAAGCCUCGUUUCCGAAAACGGGACAAGGUCAUGUUCUACGGACGAAAAAUGCUGCGCAAAAUCUCUUCUGUUAAACAGAAAGUAAAGAUGAUUUCAGGUCAAGUUCGAGGCCCACCUGGUCGAAAAAGAAAACUAGUCAUGAAACUGGCUCGAAGGCUUCUACCACGUCGCGAUCACAUGCCGCAGUCUCAACUAAAAAAUGUAGAGCCGCCUGUGGAAUAUCUUCAAGAGGACAUAUCGGAAUCUAUAGACCAAAGAUUGCCUCCAGAAGUAGUUUACAUGCUCCAAAAUAUGAGAAUGUUUGGAUGCUUCGAGAAACCGUUAUUCCUAGAACUCAUCAAACACAUUGAAACUGUAGAUCUUCGAUGCAGUCAGCAUUUGUUUAUGAUCGGCGAUCAGGAUACAAAUAUGUACAUAGUUCAGAGUGGUAGACUUCGAGUCUACAGCACAGAAGCUGAUGGCUCAACCAUAACACUAAAGGAAGUAAAGGGAGGAGAAGCUAUUUGUUCCUUGCUGAGUUUCACCGACUACCUAACUGGUCAGCCCAGUGUUUUCAAAACUGUUUCUGCCCAAGCUAUGGAAGAAUCUUCAGUUCUUCAACUGCCCGUCUCUGCCUUUCAAGAUGUUUUUGACAAGCAUCCAGACGCUUUGGUUCGCGCUAUACAAAUCAUUAUGGUUCGCCUACAACGUGUCACGUUUUUGGCACUUCAUCAAUACCUCGGUCUCAGCGCUGAGCUGGUCAAAUCGUUUCCAGCAAAACACCACGGAGGAAGUACGUCUCCCAUCAAACUUCGUAUGCGAGAACAUGCUUUCGUUCAGAAGCCAAUAAAUGUCAAUGAUCCGAUGGACUGCGCCACACCUCCGACGACUCCCUUGUCGGAAGGUAAACGACGAGUGAAGGAUGAAAAAGAUUACCAACUACUACUGCAAGUUGGUAUCGAUGGCUUCGUUAAGUUAUUGGGUCUUGAAGACCAGUCAUUGUUGGAUGGUCACAUUGAGGUUCGAGAAUUGAUUCCCGGAACCUACAUUAUGAAAGAAGAUGCUAUGAAAGAUGUGGCACUAGUCUACGUCAUUUCUGGAACUCUUUGUGUCUCUCAGCGCGCCGCUAGUAAAAAUGAGGACGUUCAAAUGUUUUUAGCUCAUUCGGGUGAAUUGGUUGGUGGAUUGGCCGUGUUAACUGGAGAGCCAAGCUUCUUUACAGUCCGCUCACGUCACACAACAUGCGUUGCUAUGCUUUCAAAAUCAACAUUUUAUUCGAUCAUGUCUGAGCGGCCAAAGGUGGUGUUACAUAUUGCACGCACCGUCAUUUAUCGCUUGUCUCCAUUUGUGCGUCAAAUUGAUUUUGCUUUAGAUUGGGUUUAUAUAGAAAGUGGAAGAGCCUUAUACAGGCAAGAAGAUGAAUCCGACUGCACGUAUAUAGUGUUAAGUGGUCGCCUUCGAUCCGUCAUUACACAUCAUGACGGGAAGAAAGAAUUAGUGGGGGAGUACGGACGUGGUGAUUUGGUAGGCAUCGUCGAAACACUUACGCAAAACCCUCGCAGCACUACUGUCAUGGCUGUCCGUGAUACUGAAUUAGCCAAGCUGCCUGAAGGUCUUUUGGAUGCCAUCAAGCUCAAAUUUCCUAUGGUCGUAUCACGUCUCAUCAAUCUUCUUGGGCACCGAAUUCUUGGCACAUGGCAAACACAAAGUUCUAGCUUUAAUCAAGCGUUACAACAGCGUUCCGUGCAAUCAAAUUUUUCAACCGUUGCCAUUCUGCCAGUUUCCGAUGACGUUCCCCUUUCUCCGUUUAGUCAUGAACUGUACACAUCAUUGAGUUGGAUUGGUCCCACAGUUUUAUUGACAUCGGACUAUAUUCGUCGAACUCUCGGCCCUACAAUCAUGGAAUCAGCUAAUGAAUACAAGCUCUCUGCAUGGCUCGGGCAACAAGAAGAUCAACACAAAAUUGUUCUCUACCAAUGUGACCAGUCCCUUACACCUUGGACUCAACGAUGUAUUCGACAGGCUGAUUGCAUCCUGAUUGUAGCCCUGGCCACCAUGGAGCCUUCCGUUGGGUUAAUUGAAAAGCAGCUCGAGACGAUUGCUGUUCGCACACAAAAGGAAUUGAUUCUGUUACACAAAGAAGGAGGUGACAAACCUCGAAAUACUGUUCAUUGGCUAAAUGCUCGUUCUUGGUGUUCAUCUCACCAUCACAUUCAAUGUCCACCAAGAAUAUUUUCCAGAAAACAUGCUUCACGACUGGCUGAUGGAGCGACCAAACCAGCACAACUUUUGGAUCGCAACAUUCAUUCCGACUUUUCUCGUUUGGCUCGUCUAUUGACGGGAGAAUCCGUCGGGCUGGUACUCGGUGGAGGUGGUGCGAGAGGAGCAGCUCACGUUGGCAUGAUUCAAGCGAUUCAGGAGGCCGGUAUUCCUAUUGAUAUGGUUGGUGGUGUAAGCAUCGGGGCGUUCAUGGGUGCACUUUGGUGUAUGGAAAAAGAUAUUCACGAAGUCACUCGCAAAGCCAGUUCCUGGUCGCAUAAAAUGACGCAGCUUUGGCGACAGCUCGUUGAUCUAACGUACCCAGUAACAUCAAUGUUUAGCGGGGCUGGGUUUAACACGAUGAUUCGUGAAACUUUUGGAGAAGAUUCACUUAUUGAAGAUUUGUGGCUUCCUUAUUUUACCAUCACUACAGACAUCACAUCCAGCUGCAUGCGGCUUCAUAGUCAUGGAUCCGUGUGGCGAUAUGUUCGAGCAUCGAUGUCUUUGAGUGGUUACAUGCCGCCUUUAUGCGAUCCUAAAGACGGCCACUUGCUUCUCGAUGGCGGCUAUGUUAAUAACCUUCCAGGUAGUACUUGCGCGCGUUCAACCGUUGCUUUUAUUUGAAUGUCAAGUUCGUUGGACCGGAUGGUAGACUUGGUGGAUGCAUGCUAACAAUAAACCACCCCAACUAUGACUCAGGUAGGAAGCAUGCAAUUUUCAUUCUUACUUUUUAGAGGGACAGCAUAUAGCCUUGCACCAUUCUUGUUAUCUGCGUGUGCAAAAAAAUAAUAAACAGUCGCUUAUGAUUGUAACACCUAAACACUAAUACCAGGCUCACUGUGGCGAAGUAUUCGGGCCUCCAUGUCGAUUGCCGGAUGGCUACCUCCCAUGUGCGACGAGAUCGAUGGGCAUCUGCUAGUUGACGGGUGCUACGUCAACAAUGUACCCGGUAACGUAUGAGUGUACUUUUUUUCUCGUUUUCUUCUUUACUUCGUAUAGUCUUUUAAAUAUCUGGCAUUAGUCUGGUUCGGAAGAUGCAUUCAGGUGAGCAGGUUCUAUUGUCUUUUUACUCGUGAAGACAGAUUUGCUAAUUGUUGUUGUUCAUUUCCCCUCAAAACCACAUGUUAGAAUUGCA